rnacentral:lncRNA from 1 species
GCAUGCUGCACGUGGAGUACUUCGUCGGCAGCCUCGUGAGGGAGCUGGAGUGGCUGCCGGCGGUGAAGGGGCAGAAGGUGGACAUGACCGAGGAGCUUGAUUUCACCACCGUGAUGAAGCAUCCGCUCCGUGCUCGCAUUGUCCCGAGGGCUUGAUCAAGUUACUAUGAGCAUGGUUAAUAGUAUAGCUAACCCAUCUUAUAACUAGCUUGUACAAUAGUUAUUUAUAAAAAAAGUGCUAAUUUUAUCAUAUAUGUCCCCCCUUCCAUUCUCACAAAGCACAAGAGCACGUGCUAGAGCUGGCUCUUCACGGAGAGCCCGUUUUCCUUCUCUCUUAUCCAACUCAACAAAAAUAUAGUAUUUUAAUCCUUACAUCCUGCUGACUGUACCUUAUUGUACUUGCUCUAUCAAUUGCGAUUCUGAUAGAUUCUGAAUGAAGAAUCACAAUCAGUAAUGCAUGGUGUCUACGUGUUCUCUGACGAUUUGUACAACGCGAGACGCUUAUAUGUCAGUCUUUUUUAAGCACCAAUGCUUAUCUUAGAUCUUAGAACGUCUACAAACCGGACCCCUUAAACCCUU